rnacentral:rRNA from 1 species
GAUUAACGCUGGCGGCGUGCCUAACACAUGCAAGUCGAACGAGGUAGCAAUACCUAGUGGCAGACGGGUGAGUAACACGUGGGCAACCUACCGUUGAGUGGGGGAUAACUAGCCGAAAGGUUAGCUAAUACCGCAUGAAACAUGCCGGGGCAUCCCGGAAUGUUAAAAGGAGCAAUCCGCUUAAUGACGGGCCCGCGUCCGAUUAGCUAGUUGGUGGGGUAAUGGCCUACCAAGGCUCCGAUCGGUAGCUGGUUUGAGAGAGCGACCAGCCACACUGGGACUGAGAAACGGCCCAGACUCCUACGGGAGGCAGCAGUGAGGAAUUUUCCGCAAUGGGCGAAAGCCUGACGGAGCGACGCCGCGUGUGGGAAGAAGGCCUUCGGGUCGUAAACCACUGUCGAAGGGGACUAUACUGAAGGUACCCUUGGAGGAAGCCCCGGCUAACUACGUGCCAGCAGCCGCGGUAAGACGUAGGGGGCAAGCGUUAUUCGGAAUUAUUGGGCGUAAAGCGCUCGUAGGCGGGAAAGCAAGUUCGUGUUGAAAGACCUCGGCUCAACUGAGGGACCGGCUCGAAUACUGC